GUUAGCAACUGAGUACAGGUGGGCACAGGUGAGUGCAGGUGGGCACAGGUGGGCACAGGUGAGCACAGGGGGGCACAGGUGUGUUAGCAACUGAGUACAGGUGGGCACAGGUGAGUGCAGGUGGGCACAGGUGUGUUAGCAACUGAGUACAGGUGGGCACAGGUGAGCACAGGGGGGCACAGGUGUGUUAGCAACUGAGUACAGGUGGGCACAGGUGAGCACAGGGGGGCACAGGUGUGUUAGCAACUGAGUACAGGUGGGCACAGGUGAGUGCAGGUGGGCACAGGUGUGUUAGGAAUGUACAGGUGAGUACAGGUGAAUACAGGUGAGCAUGGGUGUGCCCAGGUGUAUCUCAGGUGUAUCUCAGGUG